rnacentral:rRNA from 1 species
AGCAGCAGCCGCGGGAAUACGGAGGGUGCAAGCGUUAAUCGGAAUUACUGGGCGUAAAGCGCACGCAGGCGGUCUGUUAAGUCAGAUGUGAAAUCCCCGGGCUCAACCUGGGAACUGCAUCUGAUACUGGCAAGCUUGAGUCUCGUAGAGGGGGGUAGAAUUCCAGGUGUAGCGGUGAAAUGCGUAGAGAUCUGGAGGAAUACCGGUGGCGAAGGCGGCCCCCUGGACGAAGACUGACGCUCAGGUGCGAAAGCGUGGGGAGCAAACAGGAUUAGAUACCCCAGUAGUCCCUGUCUCUUAUAC